rnacentral:rRNA from 1 species
GAUGAACGCUAGCUACAGGCUUAACACAUGCAAGUCGAGGGGCAGCGGUAUCGAAAGCUUGCUUUCGGUAGCCGGCGACCGGCGCACGGGUGAGUAACGCGUAUCGAACCUGCCUCAUACUCGGGAAUAGCCUUGCGAAAGUAAGAUUAAUGCCCGGUGUUUUCAGAGUCCCGCAUGAGGCUUUGAACAAAGAUUUAUCGGUAUGAGAUGGCGAUGCGUCCCAUUAGCUUGUUGGCGGGGUAACGGCCCACCAAGGCAUCGAUGGGUAGGGGUUCUGAGAGUAAGGUCCCCCACAUUGGAGCUGAGACACGGACCAAACUCCUACGGGAGGCAGCAGUGAGGAAGAUUAGUCGAUGGGCGGAAGCCUGAACCAGCCAAGUAGCGGGCAGGAAGACGGCCCUCCGGGUGGUAAACUGCUUUUAGUUGGGAAUAGAACGGGGCUCGUGAGCCCCCUUGCAUGUACCAUCAGAAAAAGGACCGGCUAAUUCCGUG